GUCCGAAGUAGUACUUUUAAAGUCAGAGGAGAAGGUCUCUGUAGCUUUGUCUUGAGGUUCUUUUGAAAGAAUUACUAAAAUAGUUUUGAGUAUUAAAAAUAUUUUAAACAAGAGACAAAUUUCAAAUGUGUAACGUAACUUCAGCAAACCACGUGAUUGCCUGGCUCUGAAUAGUUGAAGGAUUUUCUAUACCAGCUUGAACUCUUUCUCUGUAAGCUCCUCACUCACCACAUAUGAAGCCUGAUGACAUUGAGUGUGUUCACGUCCUCCCCAAACUUCCUAGUGUUUUGAUUGAUACACCUUUAUUCUAUUUGAACAUGUUUGGAAAUUUGCCAAUCAGAAAGACAGAACAGUGUCUUGAAACCAAAGAUUGGGAGUAGUUUUAAAUUCUCUCACUUCCUCGAGAAACUUCAUCUCAGCUGAAUCCAAAAGGUGCCUGACAAUUCCUAUGGUGCACAGCUCUUGACACUUCCCCCUCAACCUCUGCUGCAACUCGGAGCAUUUCCCACCGUGCUUGCAGAGCUCUGCGAAGCUCCGGACCCUCGCUGCACUGCUGUGGACGCAGUUAGACAGGCACCUGCUGACAUCCUAAUGGGGGUGAUGUCAACAGGCAUGCAAGUAUACCAAUAAAAGAGUUACAGGUCAUGUAAUGAUUCAUAGGAAAUGAGAGCUUACACAGAAAAAAGCAGGGGAGGCAGGGGGGCAGAGCUAGAUGGUCAUGGUUCUUCUGAGAAAAUGACAUUUAAAGCAAGACUUGAAGAAUGAGAAGAUACUGUAUUACCGACAGCGCUCCUUUCCUAGGGCUGCCAUACCAAAGCCAGACAGGGAGGCUGGAAGUCCCAGAUCAAGGCUGGGUCCCGGUCCACAGGGCUGGUUCCUGUUCCGUGCUUCCCUAGGUUCUGGUGGUCUGCCAGCAAUCUUGGGCAUCCUUUGGCUUGUGGACAUGCCACUCCAAUCUCUGCCUUCAUCUUCACAGGAUUCUCACUGAAUAACUAGAGAUAAGGAAGAAAACACAGCUAACCAUGAGUGAAAAGCCGUCAGACUGAAGGAGGGAAAGAAAUACGGGCACCAAGCAACAGAGGGCUGUGUGAGUGUGGACGUAGCUGUUUUCAAAAGAAACUUAGAACACAGUGGUUUACGUGGGUCGGGGCCUGCUUGCCCUACAAAGAGCUACUACACUCAGCAGUCUGGAGGAGACAAGGAAGAAAGAGGCCUGGUUCCUGAUGUCAAGAAAUCUGCAGUCUGCGUUGGCAGACAGGACCCACCGUGAACAGAUGAUUAUCUCAAGACAGAAAUGGUAUGUGGCCCCAUAGCCACCCGACAAACCCACGAUGGAGACACGGGUAAGCAGACAGGCAUUUUGAUUCCCUGUGGGAUCUGCCUGCUCUCCGUGGGGCCCUUCUGGGUCUACCAUCCCAGUGUAGACUGCAGAUGCCUGGAGAGCAGGAACCAAGCAGUCCUCUGCCCUGUCUGUAUAACUCUGCUGCCUAAAUGGUAACGAGGACUUGCCUGGAGUAUGAAGCUGGGGGGAAGGGGGAGUGACGCCUGCCCUCCCUAAGGUUCUCUGCUGUAUGUGGAUGAAUCCUCCUACACCGUCUUAAAGAACCAGCAGGGCUUCCUUCCAGGCCGGCUGGAUGUGCUCACAGGAGUGAAGCGAGCAACUGGCAGAGUCUAGCCCACUGAGUACACUUGAAGAAAGAGCUGUGUACAUUUCUCUUCAACCCUCCUCACAAGUCCAUACCACCUGUUCAGUGGCCUCGGCAAAUGUGGGUACAGUUUUCUCUGGACCUCUUCUUGAAGAAUUAUUUACCAGGAGAUAGAUGUUGGUCCAUUAUAUCAAUCUGACACUUUCAUUAGUCAAGCACAAAAGUAAACAAUUCCAGGUAGUGAACAAUAAAGCCUAGCGAGGACUCCAAAGAGGAGGCUCAGAAGGCUUCCCCCAGGAAGUGGGACUGGAGCUUUACCUUAAAGAAUAGGUUAAAAAUAAAUAGAAUAAUUAAAAAUAGA